AAUCACGCCAGGUUAAAGGAAUGAACCAUCUUACCAUAGCUCCAGGCUAAGGUCAUCUUCAUCUCAGUCGAGUUCAUCCAUCUUCAGUCGCCAUGCUCAGUCAAUACCUGCUCAGUCGCCACGCCUCCAAGAGGGUAAUGGCACCAAGUCAUGUUACAUUCUGCAAUGUGGAACAAUUGCAUAUCUACAACAGAUCCUGGGAGGCAACUGCGAAACUUAUUUCUGGUCGAAUAAAAAACAAUAGAGGAGGUGAUCUAAUCUACCAUGCUAUCCUCGUCGACGAAAAUGUAAGUAUUCCAACAAUUAUGAUAUGUGUAA